rfam:Streptomyces alboflavus strain MDJK44, complete genome.
CACCGAGUCCGAGGCUCCGGGAGUUUCCGGGGCCUGGUGCAAAAGGGA